UAGGGAAUAUUGGGCAAUGGUCGAAAGACUGACCCAGCCAUGCCGCGUGAAGGAAGAAGGUUCUCAGAACUGUAAACUUCUUUUGUAAGGGAAGAAAAAGCGGGGUGCGCCCUGUCCUGACGGUACCUUACGAAUAAGCACCGGCUAACUCCGUGCCAGCAGCCGCGGUAAUACGGGGGGUGCAAGCGUUGUCCGGAUUUAUUGGGUUUAAAGGGUGCGCAGGCGGUUUUGUAAGUCCGUGUUGAAAUACCUCAGCUUAACUGAGGGACUGGCAAGGAUACUGCAAGACUUGAGUACAAUUGAGGUAGGCGGAAUUAGUGGUGUAGCGGUGAAAUGCUUAGAUACCACUAGGAACACCGAUAGCGAAGGCAGCUUACCAAGUUGUAACUGACGCUCAUGC
rnacentral:rRNA from 1 species